rnacentral:rRNA from 1 species
GGGUAGUUUGACUGGGGCGGUCUCCUCCUAAAGAGUAACGGAGGAGCACGAAGGUUGGCUAAUCCUGGUCGGACAUCAGGAGGUUAGUGCAAUGGCAUAAGCCAGCUUGACUGCGAGCGUGACGGCGCGAGCAGGUGCGAAAGCAGGUCAUAGUGAUCCGGUGGUUCUGAAUGGAAGGGCCAUCGCUCAACGGAUAAAAGGUACUCCGGGGAUAACAGGCUGAUACCGCCCAAGAGUUCAUAUCGACGGCGGUGUUUGGCACCUCGAUGUCGGCUCAUCACAUCCUGGGGCUGAAGUAGGUCCCAAGGGUAUGGCUGUUCGCCAUUUAAAGUGGUACGCGAGCUGGGUUUAGAACGUCGUGAGACAGUUCGGUCCCUAUCUGCCGUGGGCGCU